UCAGUUGCAGUAAAAAGACCAGGGAAGAAGAGGUCCAUCACAGUAAGGGUGCAACGCCUACCUGAGACCCGAUCUGCUCCCUUCUGCCUUUGAUGUUCCUCACUCUGCGCCAGGGGUCACAGUGCUGGCAGACAUGCCAGGGGGUAUGAAUGAUUUAAAGCAACAGACACAAACCAACAGAAAGUAGCACACCUCAGAUUUUGACAACUGUAUUCAAAUUUGAAGAACCUUUAAAUGGUAGGAGAUGGACAUUGAGGAGAUCUGAUAACGGCUUGGGUGCCACUCUGGAAAUCAUCUGAUGUCAGUGGAUAAGCAUAGUUGAUGUCUAAGAAGAGGUGCACAAGAUACAGAAGUCCUUAUGUCAAACUCUGCCUGCUUUCACAGUGUGAAAAUGUCAAAAUCAGUUUGAAAUUCAACUCAUCCAUGGAUAAUAUAAAAAUUUCAUAAAAAUAUAAGGUAAAAGUAUACUACAUAAGCCCACAGCAUCAAAACAUCCACAAAUAUAAAUGUACAACAUAUCUA